AUUGAACGCUGGCGGCAGGCUUAACACAUGCAAGUCGAGCGGGGGAAGGUAGCUUGCUACCGGACCUAGCGGCGGACGGGUGAGUAAUGCUUAGGAAUCUGCCUAUUAGUGGGGGACAACAUCUCGAAAGGGAUGCUAAUACCGCAUACGUCCUACGGGAGAAAGCAGGGGAUCUUCGGACCUUGCGCUAAUAGAUGAGCCUAAGUCGGAUUAGCUAGUUGGUGGGGUAAAGGCCUACCAAGGCGACGAUCUGUAGCGGGUCUGAGAGGAUGAUCCGCCACACUGGGACUGAGACACGGCCCAGACUCCUACGGGAGGCAGCAGUGGGGAAUAUUGGACAAUGGGGGGAACCCUGAUCCAGCCAUGCCGCGUGUGUGAAGAAGGCCUUAUGGUUGUAAAGCACUUUAAGCGAGGAGGAGGCUACUUUAGUUAAUACCUAGAGAUAGUGGACGUUACUCGCGGAAUAAGCACCGGCUAACUCUGUGUCAGCCGCCGCAGUAA
rnacentral:rRNA from 1 species